GAGUUUGAUCAUGGCUCACAACGAACGCUGGCGGCAGGCUUAACACAUGCAAGUCGAACGCCCUCUUCGGAGGGAGUGGCAGACGGGUGAGUAACGCGUGGGAACCUACCCAGUAGUACGGAAUAACUCAGGGAAACUUGUGCUAAUACCGUAUACGCCCUACGGGGGAAAGAUUUAUCGCUAUUGGAUGGGCCCGCGUUGGAUUAGUUUGUUGGUGAGGUAACGGCUCACCAAGGCUACGAUCCAUAGCUGGUCUGAGAGGAUGAUCAGCCACACUGGGACUGAGACACGGCCCAGACUCCUACGGGAGGCAGCAGUGGGGAAUAUUGGACAAUGGGGGAAACCCUGAUCCAGCCAUGCCGCGUGAGUGAAGAAGGCCCUAGGGUUGUAAAGCUCUUUCGCUAGGGAAGAUAAUGACGGUACCUAGUAAAGAAGCCCCGGCUAACUUCGUGCCAGCAGCCGCGGUAAUACGAAGGGGGCUAGCGUUGUUCGGAAUUACUGGGCGUAAAGCGCACGUAGGCGGAUUGUUUAGUCAGAGGUGAAAUCCCGG
rnacentral:rRNA from 1 species